rnacentral:Y_RNA from 1 species
GGCUGGUCUGAGUGCAGUGGUGUUUACAACUAAUUGAUCACAGCCAGUUACAGAUUCCUUUGUUCCUUCUCCACUCCCACUGCUUGACUUCACUAGCCUUUA